GGGCUUGUAGCUCAGUUGGGAGAGCGCUGCGUUCGCAACGCAGAGGUCAUGGGUUCGACUCCCACCAGGUCCACCA
rnacentral:tRNA from 1 species